AUACGUAGGUGACAAGCGUUAUCCGGAUUUACUGGGCGUAAAGGGCGUGUAGGCGGUCUUGCAAGUCAGAAGUGAAAUUCCUGAGCUCAACUCGGGCGCUGCUUCUGAAACUGCAGGACUUGAGUGCUGGAGGGGAUAGCGGAAUUCCUAGUGGAGCGGUAAAAUGCGCAGAUAUUAGGAAGAACACCGGUGGCGAAGGCGGCUAUCUGGACAGUAACUGCCGCUGAGGCGCGAAAGCGGGGGGAGCAAACAGGAUUAGAUACCCUGGCAGUCCACGCCGUAAACGAUGAAUACUAGGUGUAGGAGGUAUCGACCCCUUCUGUGCCGCAGUAAACACAGUAAGCAUUCCGCCUGGGGAGUACGGUCGCAAGAUUAAAACUCAAAUGAAUUGACGGGG
rnacentral:rRNA from 1 species